CUUAGUGGCGGACGGGUGAGUAACGCGUGGGUAACCUGCCCUGUACAGGGGGACAACAGCCGGAAACGGCUGCUAAUACCGCAUAAGCCUGCGGGGCCGCAUGGCCCGGCAGGAAAAGCUGCGGCGGUACAGGAUGGGCCCGCGUCUGAUUAGCCAGUUGGCGGGGUAACGGCCCACCAAAGCAACGAUCAGUAGCCGGCUUGAGAGAGCGAACGGCCACAUUGGGACUGAGACACGGCCCAAACUCCUACGGAAGGCAGCAG
rnacentral:rRNA from 1 species